GCAAACUUGGUCAUUUAGAGGAAGUAAAAGUCGUAACAAGGUCUCCGUAGGUGAACCUGCGGAGGGAUCAUUAUCGAGUGGUUGCCUUCUGGCUUCUACCCCUUGAAACCGUGGAAGGGAAGCAUGCUUUGGUGCCGUGAGCGCCAGAUUUAUACCGUAAGCAAGUUUGGCUCUGAACAAAACAUGAAACGAAAACUUUCAACAAAGGAUCUCUUGGCUCUUGCAUCGAUGAAGAACGCAGC
rnacentral:misc_RNA from 1 species